AAGUGCAUGGCAGGCUCUUUGGCUGAGAGUAUGAGCCAAUUGCUCUCAGCCAAUGGCUCAUACUCUCAGCCAAAGAGCCUGCCAUGCACU